rnacentral:rRNA from 1 species
CCUACGGGAGGCAGCAGUGGGGGAUAUUGCACAAUGGGGGAAACCCUGAUGCAGCGACGCCGCGUGUGGGAAGACGGUCCUCUGGAUUGUAAACCACUGUCCCCAGGGACGAAGAUGACGGUACCUGGGGAGGAAGCUCCGGCUAACUACGUGCCAGCAGCCGCGGUAAUACGUAGGGAGCGAGCGUUGUCCGGAAUUACUGGGUGUAAGGGGAGCGUAGGCGGGACUGCAAGUUGGGUGUCAAAUCUACCGGCUCAACCGGUAGCCGCACUCAAAACUGCAGUUCUUGAGUGAAGUAGAGGCAGGCGGAAUGCGUAGUGUAGCGGUGAAAUGCGUAGAUAUUAGGAGGAACACCAGUGGCGAAGGCGGCCUGCUGGGCUUUUACUGACGCUGAGGCUCGAAAGUGUGGGGAGCAAACAGGAUUAGAUACCCUUGUAGUC